rnacentral:rRNA from 1 species
UCGAUCAGGAGGUGAGCUGUAGC